AUUUUGGUGUUUCCGGACCUUUUGGUGUUUCUGGGGUCAGCAAUUUCUGCCCCUACCAUGCAGAUGUUCCAGAAGGCUGCUGUGGGCCUCUGAUGGUUGCAGAGAAGCUUUCAGCAGCCAACCUCAGAGAAGAAAAGUUCAGAGACUUUGCAGGUAGCUAAGCAACUGAAACUGUGCCCAACUUUGCUGCUGUUACAGCCUGGAAGGGAGGGCGAAGACCUGGAGCUGGCUGCCUCCUGAGCUGUGUGAGCGUGAGCUUGGGCCGCUUGUCGGGUCAUUCUGCUGCUGCAGCUGCUGUUCUGAGUCCCGCUUGUCUGGUGCUGUGCUGGCACAUCUCGGCAGCUCAGGCAAGGAAACGGAAAUAAAAGAAAUUUAGUUUCAUCUGAGGCCAUAUCCCAAGUCUAAAAUAGAACUGAGAUUCAAACUCGGUGAGACUUCGCCUAUGGGUCCAAGCACUGUGUGGGAAGGGGGCACAGCCUGCUCGUUCAUCCCCCUCUGAAUCCCAAAGAAGGGAGAAAAAUGGAAAAAAGUAGAAAAUG